rnacentral:rRNA from 1 species
UUUAUUGAGAGUUUGAUCCUGGCUCAGGAUGAACGCUGGCGGCGUGCUUAACACAUGCAAGUCGAACGGAGCACCCCUGACGGAGUUUUCGGACAACUGAAGGGACUGCUUAGUGGCGGACGGGUGAGUAACGCGUGAGCAACCUACCUUGGAGUGGGGAAUAACAGCUGGAAACAGCUGCUAAUACCGCAUGAUAUGUCUGUAUCACAUGGUACUGGACAUCAAAGAUCUAUCGCUCUGAGAUGGGCUCGCGUCUGAUUAGCUAGUUGGUGAGGUAACGGCCCACCAAGGCGACGAUCAGUAGCCGGACUGAGAGGUUGGCCGGCCACAUUGGGACUGAGACACGGCCCAGACUCCUACGGGAGGCAGCAGUGGGGAAUAUUGGGCAAUGGGCGAAAGCCUGACCCAGCAACGCCGCGUGAAGGAAGAAGGCUCUCGGGUUGUAAACUUCUUUUAUCAGGGACGAAGCAAGUGACGGUACCUGAUGAAUAAGCCACGGCUAACUACGUGCCAGCAGCCGCGGUAAUACGUAGGUGGCAAGCGUUAUCCGGAUUUACUGGGUGUAAAGGGCGUGUAGGCGGGAAAGCAAGUCAGAUGUGAAAACCAUGGGCUCAACCUGUGGCCUGCAUUUGAAACUGUUUUUCUUGAGUACUGGAGAGGCAGACGGAAUUCCUAGUGUAGCGGUGAAAUGCGUAGAUAUUAGGAGGAACACCAGUGGCGAAGGCGGUCUGCUGGACAGCAACUGACGCUGAGGCGCGAAAGCGUGGGGAGCAAACAGGAUUAGAUACCCUGGUAGUCCACGCUGUAAACGAUGGAUACUAGGUGUGGGGGGACUGACCCCCUCCGUGCCGCAGUCAACACAAUAAGUAUCCCACCUGGGGAGUACGAUCGCAAGGUUGAAACUCAAAGGAAUUGACGGGGGCCCGCACAAGCGGUGGAGUAUGUGGUUUAAUUCGAAGCAACGCGAAGAACCUUACCAGGGCUUGACAUCCCGAUGACCGCUCUAGAGAUAGAGUUUUCUCUUCGGAGACAUCGGUGACAGGUGGUGCAUGGUUGUCGUCAGCUCGUGUCGUGAGAUGUUGGGUUAAGUCCCGCAACGAGCGCAACCCUUAUUGUUAGUUGCUACGCAAGAGCACUCUAGCGAGACUGCCGUUGACAAAACGGAGGAAGGUGGGGACGACGUCAAAUCAUCAUGCCCCUUAUGUCCUGGGCCACACACGUACUACAAUGGUGGUCAACAGAGGGAAGCAAUACCGCGAGGUGGAGCAAAUCCCUAAAAGCCAUCCCAGUUCGGAUCGCAGGCUGCAACCCGCCUGCGUGAAGUUGGAAUCGCUAGUAAUCGCGGAUCAGCAUGCCGCGGUGAAUACGUUCCCGGGCCUUGUACACACCGCCCGUCACACCAUGAGAGUCGGGAACACCCGAAGUCCGUAGCUUGACCGCAAGGAGGGCGCGGCCGAAGGUGGGUUCGAUAAUUGGGGUGAAGUCGUAACAAGGUAGCCGUAUCGGAAGGUGCGGCUGGAUCACCUCCUUUCUAAGGA